rnacentral:tRNA from 1 species
UAGACCUUAGCUUAAUUAAAGUAUCUGGGUUGCAUUCAGAAGAUGUGAGGUAGCACUUUGCAGGUCUUA